GGUCCCUUAGCUCAACUGGAUAGAGCAACAGACUUCUAAUCUGUAGGUUGCUGGUUCGAGUCCAGCAGGGAUCGCCA
rnacentral:tRNA from 2 species